UGGGCAACUUCAGCUCCUCAGGGAAGCCACAC
rnacentral:piRNA from 1 species